ACAACGAUAGCUCAGUGGCAGAGCGGUGGGGCGUUUACCCAUGCGGCCCGGGUUCGAUUCCCGGUCGAUGUA